AUACGGAGGGUGCGAGCGUUAAUCGGAAUUACUGGGCGUAAAGCGCGCGUAGGCGGCUUGGUCAGUCGGAUGUGAAAGCCCUGGGCUCAACCUGGGAAUUGCAUUCGAUACUGCCAAGCUAGAGUAUGGGAGAGGGAAGUGGAAUUUCCGGUGUAGCGGGGAAAUGCGUAGAUAUCGGAAAGAACACCAGUGGCGAAGGCGACUUCCUGGCCCAAUACUGACGCUGAGGUGCGAAAGCGUGGGGAGCGAACAGGAGUAGAAACCCCAGUAGUCC
rnacentral:rRNA from 1 species